rnacentral:lncRNA from 1 species
CGCACGCGCCCCCGCAGCGCACGCGCCCCCGCAGCGCACGCGCCCCCGCAGCGCACGCGCCCCCGCACGCGCAGUGCAAUGGAGCGGAGAGAAAGACCCUUAACUGGGUCUGCUGCAUUAGUAUCUGCUUUCCUGGUGAACUAGGGAACAGACAGGCCACCUCUUAGUGCAAGGCCAGGCUCAUUGCUGCUCAUAUCUGCCUGUUGGAGCACUUUUGUGGCCACUGCAGCUCACCUGAUGGAACGCUUUUGUCACCGAAGUAGGGAGGUCAUCUGAUUUGGCACCUAUAGGAAGCCACCCUGAUUGCAGGAUUUCCAGCCUUCUCCUACAUGUAAAUCAUCAAUAAACAUGACGUGACAAUUAAGACUGAGUGAGAGAUAGCAGAAACAAAUGGCAAAACCAAAUCUCCAAAGGCCUCAGAUAUUGGAAAUGUCUGCUUUAGUUCGAAGAAGAAAUGUAUUCUUCCACUCAUUUUGUAGACCUAGAAAGCAAAAUUGAUCUCUUCGGUAUAUAUUUUUUGACUUAGUUUUUAAAAAAAUACUGAUUUAUAUAUUUGCCUGCGCUGGGUCUUAGUUACAGCACACAGGAUCUUUGAUUUUUAUUGCAGCAUGUGGGUCUUUGUUAUGGCAUGUGGGACCUAGUUCCCUGACCAGGAACUGAACCUGGGCUCCCUGCAUUGUGAGCUUGGAGUCUUGGCCCUGGAGCACCAGCAAAGUCCUUCUUUGGUGUAUUUAAAGAAACUAGAAUAACUGGAAACAUGAACAAGGAAUAAAGGGCUACCCAAAAUGAC